UUUUUUUUCUCUCUCGGCCGACACUCUCUCUCUCUCUCUAGCUCUCACCUCUCCCUCAUCUUCUCUCCUCAAUUUCACCUCCAUGGAGUAUGAUUCCGGACAAAGUCCAAAAAUUAAAGUUGUUCUACAGAGAGCGGGCUUUCCGAAUAUCCAAGAAAAAUUACGAUCGGACAAUGUGGGCUUCGGUUGACUUGGUCAAAGGGUCGAGUUUUGCUCAAAACCCUUGAGGUACAAAACGAGGAAGUUGGCAUGACGUGCACAUCGUGCUUGUUAAUCAUGUCUUUCAAAGGUAUAACAGAGGCGAUUAUUUGCAUUUGAUUCGAAAGAAGUAUUUUGGAAAGUCAUUUGUUCCAACUGUAAAAUUAUUUUCUUCGGACAUUGGUAUUGUGAUAACUUGGGGCCAUUGAACCAAAAAAAAAAAUGUAAUAUCUAAAUCUUAUUUAAGAACAGGGGAAAGGAAGAUCUUUUGGGUAUUAAUUAUAUUUUUGCGAGAACUUUAUUUAUCAAAAGAGUAUUCAUUA